rnacentral:tRNA from 1 species
GCGGGCAUAGUAUAGCGGUUCGUAUGACGGUUUUCCAAACCGUAGAGAGGAGUUCGACUCUCCUUGCCCGCACCA